UUGAACGCUGGCGGCAUGCCUUACACAUGCAAGUCGAACGGCAGCACGGGGUCAACCCUGGUGGCGAGUGGCGAACGGGUGAGUAAUAUAUCGGAACGUACCCUAGAGUGGGGGAUAACGUCGCGAAAGUUACGCUAAUACCGCAUACGAUCUACGGAUGAAAGUGGGGGCUCGCAAGACCUCAUGCUCAUGGAGCGGCCGAUAUCUGAUUAGCUAGUUGGUGAGGUAAAGGCUCACCAAGGCGACGAUCAGUAGCUGGUCUGAGAGGACGACCAGCCACACUGGGACUGAGACACGGCCCAGACUCCUACGGGAGGCAGCAGUGGGGAAUUUUGGACAAUGGGGGCAAGCCUGAUCCAGCAAUGCCGCGUGAGUGAAGAAGGCCUUCGGGUUGUAAAGCUCUUUUGUCAGGGAAGAAACGGGGAAGGUGAAUAGCGU
rnacentral:rRNA from 1 species